GCGCAGCUUUUUACAAGAAGUCACGGGGGGUAGGGGCGAAAGAGGGUGAAAACCACCCUGCGGUCCUGCCGCGGCGGGGAGGAAACCUGCCGCCCCAGAGCCACGUGCUGAAGCCGGCGCUGGGUGGGUGGCUGGCCCCGCCCCGGAGUGGCUUGGGGAAGGGGGGGGCUUGCUGGGAAAGGCUGCAGGCCAACUUCCCGGGGGAGGAAGAGAACCCCGGGGGGACAGCCUCGGCCCCGGGGCACCAGGGAACAAGGGUGUCUGGAGUAGGAGGUCCAGUUCCCUUCGAUGGGAGCAGCUCUGGCCUAGCUGGAAGAAAUGUACUGGCCUAACCUAACUUCCUCCCCUGACCCUGGUGGGAUGGGGUGGAGGCUGGAGACUCCCCCACACUUCACACCCUUCAAAGAGGAUGUAUGUCCCAGGGUUUCCAGAACCUCAGUAAAUAGAGGGUGGGUGGCGGUUUAGUGAAGGGGGUGGUGGUAGGAAGAUGGAAGGAAGCUGUAUAAAGAGGAAAGAAUUUUAAGAACAUGUGAAGAACAGCACUGGAUUCCUUGCGAAGGCAGAAGUAGCACAACAGCUGGGUGAACAAAACCCGCCCGGAUCUGUCCAGAGCUGUUUGUCAGCACAGCCUCGACAAGGACCCUGCUGAGAGCUCCCUUGGUAGGGGUUACCUCCUCCAGCAUUUCACAUUCUGAUUUCUCAUGGUUCUGCUUUGGACCCAGUUCAGUUGCCAUCUUCUCUGGGAAGCUCCUUUCUCCUGCCCCACGUUCUGAGUGCCCCUGGCUCAUGCAUCCAGGUAACUCUUACUUUGCUUUGUUUGGCCUCAGAGGUUUUGCUGAACUCAACUUCCCCCGCCACCCAGACAGAGGCCCACUGGGAGGCCCAGAGUUUCAUCUUUGCUGCUGCCCCUUGAUGGAACUCCUGAGGAAAUGAAUUAGCUGUGAACUUUGCCCUCCUCUGCCCAAUGCUUGGCCUCAUAGGCUUCCUUUGUGUCUGACUGGGCUUCCUUCUUGCUGUGUCUGCUUCCAUGAGAGCCUCAUCUCGGGUUUUGACCCAGCCAGCUCUUUGCUUGAUGGUUUAGCCCAGCCUCUGGGCCCCUGGUUCAUCAUCGUCAUUGAUUCCAGCGGCCAUUCAGCAGAAGUCUUUGCUCCUUCUCUUAGCAAUUGGAACGAAGGCAGAGGGUCAAUGGAAUUUAAGUGCAACUCACUAAAGCUAGCCCAUUGUGUGUACAUCCAUACUCAAGAAUACAGAUGGACUUCAUUAAAGCUAACAUGUCAUGUUACAUUCAUACAAAAUACAUUCAUAAUACAUACAAAAUACAUUCAUGUUACAUUCAUACAAAAAAUAUUAGGGGCUGUUUCCCCCUUCGCUCUUUUUUUUUUUUCCCUUGAGGGGCUAAGUCUCUUCACAAAACUUUUUCAAAGACCAUUAAAUGUAAGCUUCCUCAUAUGCCUUAGAGGGCUUACUUUUUUUUUUUUUUUCAACUUUUGGGGAAAAAAUACAUUGAAAGUGAGGUAUAAAAUCAAGAGAUGAAUUAGCAGAGAUUAGACUAUUUUCAGGGGUCAUGUAACAAAAUUCUAUAUUACUGCAGAUACCAGAAAAUUUGGCAUGAAACUGAGCUAAAUUAGGAAUAUCUGCCUCCAAAAGUUUGGCAUAACUCCUCAAAACAUCUGGCAUCCCCCGGUAGCAUUUAUCACUCCACUGAGAAUUGAACCUCCUCUAAGUCAUUCUUGGCCACAUUAUAGAGCAGAGGACAGUCCAGGACACUGUUAGAAAAUCUUGGCCUCUACCUCUGGCUCUGCCAUGGCUGAGCUCUGCUACCUUGGGCCACCUGCUGAUCUGCCUGAGCCUUGGUUUUACUUACCUGUAAAAUAGAGAUCAUUCCAUCCACAUCUUAGGGCCCCUGUGAGGACCCGAAGAAGUAAGAGACACUCAGUAAAGCCUUCUCAAGAAAGAGUAGCUUCAAGUGUUUCAGACUUUCUAACUGUAGAGGUAAACACUUCCUGAUAUAAUUUUCUUCCUAUGUAUAAUUUUCUCCAUUUGGGAUUCUUUAGGUCCAGGUUCUAUCCAGGGUCAAGCAGGUCAGCUUGAGAGAAAAAUGAGCUCUUUUUCAGAACCCACUGGAGAAAAGACCAACAUUUCUAGGAGAAGUAAAGAAUGUAAUAGCAGUACAAUCUACCAACCAAUCAUGGGUUAAGGGUCUGAGAGAAACCUGAUUAUGAACCAGUCUGAGGCCUAUCAGUGACAAAAAUGACCUUUGCCCAGACACUAGGCAUGUCUGAGCCACUGAACAAGGUUUUAAUCCAGGAGGUGUUGAAAGAGCCUAAUAAAUACUUAUUCCAUUGAGUAAAAUCCAAGAGUUUGAAGAAAAAUGUGAAGUUUGUUUUCUGUGCCCCUCUACCAUGUGAGAUGUGACUGAGGGAAAUUGGUAAACCAGACCCUCUAAUAGAUGCUCUGAUGUAUGAUGGGCCCCAGAGUCCCAUGCUGGGCCCUAGACUAUUGUUCCGGUGCACAGAAGCAGGAAAUGCUCCCAGGAAGGACAGAUUAACUGGCUGCACUGGACACCCUUCAGAAAGGGAGCAAGAACUGUCCUUUGCACCUCGGCCAUUUCUGCCCCAGCUGACACCAAUCCAGGGAAUAUAUAUAUAUAUAUUCAUUUCCUAGGAAUGCAUAACCAAGCACCACAGAAAUUUAUUUGCUUAAAGUUCUGGAGGCUAGAGAUCCGAAAUCAAGGUGUCAGCAGGGUCAUACUCUCUCUGAGACUCUGGGUAGAAGCCUUCCUUGUCGCUUCCUAGCUUCAGGUGGCAUUCCUUGGCAUGCAGCUGCGUCAUUCCAAUCUCUGCCUCUGUGAGCACAUGAUGUUCUCCCUGUGUGUCUAUGUCUUCACAUGGCAUUGUCCUCUUAAUAAGGACAUCCAUCAUAUUGGACAAAGGCCCACCCUAACUACCUCCUAACUUGAUUACACCUGCAAAGACUGUUUCCAAAUAAGGUCACAGGUACGGUGGAUUAGGACUCCACAGUAUCUUUUUAGGGAAAAUAAUUCAACCCAUAGCAUAAGGUAAGAAUGAUAUCUUUGCUGUCAGGCUGCCGCACAGGCCGAGGGGAUGGUCAACCCCGGGGGCAUUCUUCUCUACGCCUGCGAGGGGGCAAAUUGGAACAGCAAGUUGGCAGUCUCUUUAUCAGAAGACUUAAAAACAUUCAUAGCCUUUAAUCCAGUGAUCCACUUCUAGGAAUCCAGCUAUUGAAGUCAGCGAAAAUGUUGAUAAAACUUUAUGCGUAGAGAUAUCCAACUCAAUAUUGUUUCUAAUACUUAAUUAUCAGGAACAACUUCAACACCUAACACUUAGGGAUGGUUAUUAAGAUAAGUCACAUCCACAUGAGGGGGAUGUUAUAUAGCCUUAGAAAUGAUAUAUUCAGAAAAGAAAUAGUAAUAUGGGGGAAGUGAAGUAACGUGAUAUAUUCAGUAUGUUGUCAGCUUUAUAAAAAUUAUACAGAGAAGAAAAACACAACAUAAUGUUAAUAGUCCCACCCCUUACGGAGGGAUUAUGAGUGACUGUUAUUGUUUUAUUAUGGCAUUAUAUAUGUUCUCUGCAAUAGCUUUUUUUAUUUAUUUGAGAUUUUAUUUAUUUAUUUAAGAGAGAAAGAGAGAGAAUGAGCCCAAGCAGGAGGGAGACGGAGAAGCAGGCUUCCCGCCAA